GAUGAGGAACGCAGCGAAAUGCGAUACGUAAUGUGAAUUGCAAAUUCAGUGAAUCAUCGAGUCUUUGAACGCACAUUGCGCCCCCUGGUAUUCCGGGGGGCAUGCCUGUCCGAGCGUCAUUGCUGCCCUCAAGCACGGCUUGUGUGUUGGGCCCCGUCCUCCGAUCCCGGGGGACGGGCCCGAAAGGCAGCGGCGGCACCGCGUCCGGUCCUCGAGCGUAUGGGGCUUUGUCACCCGCUCUGUAGGCCCGGCCGGCGCUUGCCGAUCAACCCAAAUUUUUAUCCAGGUUGACCUCGGAUCAGGUAGGGAUACCCGCUGAACUUAAGCAUAUCAAUAAGCGGAGGA
rnacentral:misc_RNA from 1 species